rnacentral:ncRNA from 1 species
GAACAACCGAUGAUGGAGAAAAGUAAUUAAGACACACAUGAAAAGAGAGGAAAUGUCUUGGCUGAAAACAUUUCUGCAUGAUGACUUAAUGAAAGAACACUCCGUAGGUUUCUCUCUGAAAAAGGAUUUGUCCUCUAUUAGGAGAAGAACGUGUGCAGGCGUUAACUGCUAGAGUGGAAGUGCACUUUUGUACUUCAAUUAGGGUGGCACCACGGGAAAUUAUACUCUCGUCCCUUGU